rnacentral:rRNA from 1 species
UACGAAGGGGGCUAGCGUUGCUCGGAAUGACUGGGCGUAAAGGGCGCGUAGGCGGAAUGCUUUGUCGGGCGUGAAAUCCCUGGGCUCAACCCAGGAACUGCGUCCGAUACUGGAAGGCUUGAAUCCGGGAGAGGGAUGCGGAAUUCCAGGUGUAGCGGUGAAAUGCGUAGAUAUCUGGAGGAACACCGGUGGCGAAGGCGGCAUCCUGGACCGGCAUUGACGCUGAGGCGCGAAAGCCAGGGGAGCAAAGCGGG